rnacentral:rRNA from 1 species
GAUGAACGCUGGCGGCGUGCUUAACACAUGCAAGUCGAACGAUGAAGCCCAGCUUGCUGGGUGGAUUAGUGGCGAACGGGUGAGUAACACGUGAGUAACCUGCCCUUAACUCUGGGAUAAGCCUGGGAAACUGGGUCUAAUACCGGAUAGGAGCGUCCACCGCAUGGUGGGUGUUGGAAAGAUUUAUCGGUUUUGGAUGGACUCGCGGCCUAUCAGCUUGUUGGUGAGGUAAUGGCUCACCAAGGCGACGACGGGUAGCCGGCCUGAGAGGGUGACCGGCCACACUGGGACUGAGACACGGCCCAGACUCCUACGGGAGGCAGCAGUGGGGAAUAUUGCACAAUGGGCGCAAGCCUGAUGCAGCGACGCCGCGAGGGAUGACGGCCUUCGGGUUGUAAACCUCUUUCAGUAGGGAAGAAGCGAAAGUGACGGUACCUGCAGAAGAAGCACCGGCUAACUACGUG